UCUCGUACCCUGGGGAGUCCCCCCGGCCCGUUCCGUGAGAGGGCCCUGCGCGCACAGCGCACACCGCGCUCGGCGGAGGGGCGGCUGCCUGAGGGGCUGCGCUGCCCCAGCCCCCGCACUGCCCGGCUGACAGCCCCUUCCGUGCCCCGGCCCUUCCGAAGCGUUUCGCUGCGGUCCUGGCGGCUCGCCGGGACAGCCUCCCAGCCCUGAGCCCGGCCGGGCGGGGUUCCCGGUGAGCCGGGGCGCUGCCCCGCCGUGCUCUGCUUCGCUCCGCGCUGCCGUCGGCAGAGGUUACAGUUAAUAUUGGAAUGGUUACCCUGAGCAAGUCCCUGUGCCACUUUGACAGUGGCCUAGGAGAUGCCUGGAACCUGAGGCCCACUGGCAGUUUCAGAGUAACAAGAGGAUAAAUGAUGCUGAUCUUCCUCCACACAAUGACACCUUUAAGAGAGAAAGUUACAGUCCAAACCACAUGCAUUCAGAUUGUGCAGCGUUGUGUCCGUGAACUUCCAGAGUUUGCAUUAAAAAGUGACAGGACAUCAGAGUGCCAGAAGCUUCUCAUACUGGCCCUGAAGUGUGGGCAAUGCACAGCCUGCAGCCCAGCACUCGGUGUGCCAGACUCCACAGCUCCUGUGCUCCAGCUGAAUUCCUUGUUAAACCAAGUGUCCCAAGUGUCAGAAGGAUCACAUCAGGGAUUGCUGGAACUUGUACUACAAAACCCUUGGUGCACUGUGUUAAAGAAUACUGCCUAACAUAGGAAAUGUAUGAAGUUGGCUUUCCUGAUCUUGGUCAUCCAGAGGAAACCAGUCUGUCUUUGAGUUAGCUUCCAAAGGCAAGAUGUUUAUAUCACACCUUAAUUUUGGCUCUGAGUGUAGGAGCCAAAGUAGGCACCUGGCCAUGGAAUUCUCCAGCCCUUCAGCCCAGGUUUGAGUCAGUGAUGAAGGUGAAUCCCAGCUGAUGCCAAUGAGAAUGCUGAUUCCACUUGAGAAAAGCAAAUUGCUCUUCUGGAUAGAGCUGGAGACUCCAAAAGUGCCAUUCCUGAGCUCCAGGAUGACACAUCAAGAAGAGAACAGCAGUGCAGGUAUCCCCCUCAGAAGUACCUCACCUUUGUUAAUUAUGGAAGAGCAGGUUCUGAGAUAAUUGGCCUGGCAGAGGUUAUACAUAAGCUCCCUCUAGUGGAUUAUUAAGCAGGAAUUUCUAAAAGCACAUCUUUCUCUGACCAUUUUCUGUCACUCCCCGUGCACAUGAGACUGCCAUAAGCACCAUGCUGUUCAUGGAGUGAGCUGUUGUUGUCUGGCCCUGCUGGCUGCCUAAGGAAAGUCUGUGAAAAAGUGCUGCCUGUACACCUGCAGUUCUAACACCAGGCAACUGCAGCACUUUUUGGCUGGGCUUGCUGUUCUUCACUCCUUGGCAGGGUCAGUUUGAUUGCUGCUUCAGAAUACUGAUGUUUCUUAAUCAUCUGCCUUUGUUUUCUGCUUAAGUGAAUGGGUGAAUACUUUGCCACACAUUCUCCAUCAAUCCAACACGUUGUGAGAGGAGAGUUGGAGCAGAACACACACUCUUUCACAAAUCUGUCAUUAUAGCACAAUCAGUUCAUUAGUACCUACCCUGCUCUUGCACAGGCUAAUUGGAUAUUCCUGAAAAAAAGUGCACUUGGUUCCAGUGCUAUCUUUCUGUCCCCCUGGGUGUUUACUCAGACCAAAACUGCAAAGGCAAUAAGACACUCCUGUUCCUUGUUUGCACAGUUCAGGCAGGUCAGAGGAAAAUCAUAAAGAGGACACGUGCAAGUGGCCAGAUUAAAAUGCAGCAGUACGUCAGAUAUGUCAACUGGAUUUAGGAUUAUAACAGACAUGUAAGCAAUUAGGGUAUUUGCUAGUUCAAAAUACUCACAUGAAUGAACCCACAUUAUCUUCUGAAAAGCAUAAUAAUAUGUAAUUGCAGUAACAAUUCCUCUUCCAUUAUGUCCUAGACAUCAACAUUCUAUAAUAUCCUGCACAACUGAUUGCAGGCAAACCCUCAGUAAGAGAAAUACUCCCAGAUGUGGUAAUGUCCCAACACUGUGGCUGCUACCUAAUAUUGAAGAAUUACAGUAGAAAUGUUUCAAUAAGAAAGUAGAAGCAUUUCAGUUUUUAUGUGGCAUAGAUUGCCACAGACACUGCCAAGCAGCUUUAUAGAGUUCUAAAUCUUCAUUCAAUGCCCCUUUACAUCAUUUGAAUGAAGAUUUAAGCCUCAAUAAAACUUUCUGAGUGCUUGUGGCCAUCUUUGCUGUAUAGUAAUCAAAGUGGGGUGCAAGCAGACGAAUGCACUGUAGUGCUUCUAAUGAUCAACACUAUAUCUAGUGACAUUUUCCUUUGUAAGAUGAGUUGUCUUAAAGGCUGUUUUCAUGGAUGGUGCAGCAGUACACAUGGAAACAGGCAUUUAUAUGCAGUUUUUAUGCAACCCUUUAAAAGAUUGCUUUGAGGGUUGUGAGGAUUUUUGUUGCUUUUUUUCCAGCUGUGUAAUGUUAAUUUGCUCUAUAGCUAUUUUGAAUUAAUUUAUUCUAUGGAAGAUAUUUGGGAAAAAAAUAGUAAAAAAUAAAUGAAAGCUAAUAAUUAAAGGGUGACUUUCCACAACACUACAGCUGCAUUUCCUUGUUUACUUAUCAAUCUCCUACUGUAAUUAAGAUAUUACAGUGCAAUGAGUUGUGGCAUUGAAUUAGAAAACUCAAAUGAAAAUCAGCUUUUAGUUAAGAUAUCAGCUGGGAAAUUCAACACAUGCUGGUGCAUAAUCUCACACACAAGGUAUGACUGAGUGGAAUUUGAAAGAAACUUUACUGUGAGAAGAUGCCAUUGAUGGAAUACAUGUUCUGUUUCAAAAAUAUGGACACUCAUUCAGGAAAACUUUGUAAAAGAAAUAGCCAGUCAGUGAAUUAUGAAAAGGAUUUGGUGUUUGAAUCCUCCUGCAGAGGAAGGUGUGGGACCAUUCUGUGGAUCUGAGCAUCCACAAACUUUCACAAAUGGAAAGUACAGCUUCCCUCUUGAAGUUCAGACUCCCACCACAAGGUGCUUAUUUUCAUUAUGUUUACUUUACAUAAAGGAUUUCUGUUAAUGAUUAAAAGUCUCAGAAAUUGCUGCCCUUAGCAGUUACCUUCAAAGAGGGAUCUGUCUGGACCCAUAUAGCUCUGCAUUAGAAAGUUGGUGUAGAACUGUCUCUGUUAAAUGCAUUUUCUGGAUACUUUGGCAACAUCAUUCUUCCUAUUGAAAAAUAGUAAAAUGUAAUUUUUUAUUGGUAGGGAUACUAAGAACAUAAUGUGGCAACUACUUUCUGUGAAGUAUGCAAUUGUUUCUGUGUAAUCCUUAAAAGAUACAAAAUAAAAUAUAUUAGAAGUAGAUCUUAUUUAGAGAAACUGAAGCUGCCAGCACUUUGUAAAAGUAGUAGUACCAAUGUGAAAAUCAAGCUCCAAUUUUUUCCACUAAUUUUUAAUAAGAAUUUUAAAGAAAACUAAAUGUGGAAAUUGCUCAGCCCAUCUCCUCUGGGGAGCCAGGCUGUUUCUGGUUCUGAAAAAGGCAGCAGCUGACCUGCUAGGGGAAUGCACUGGUUACCAAGGCACUCAAAAAUGAGCUUCUCACAUGCUCACGAUGGAGCUCUUCCAGGUUUUGUAAAAAGAUUUCAGGUUUUACUAAAUCAAAUGGAGACAAGCUGAUCCUUUGGCCUUGUUUUGGAGGAAAUGGUCUCAUUUCCAGUUCCUUUGUCAAGAGAUGCAAAACUGGAGGAGCUCCACAGAAGGAAAGAGACCCUCCUCAGAGCACCAGGGUGGGUGCCCCCCUUGGACAAGAAGGGGCAGCAGUAGCCCAUCCUUGCCCUUGCUGGUUUCUGCCUCAAAAGGUGAACACAUUGACCUGAAGUCAGACUUACUGUUCUAGUUAAAUUGAACUAUAGUUUCCAGCACACAAAAUAUGCAGGAUCUGAACUGUAAGGCAAAAUGAAGGCCUCAUUCUCCAAAACACCAUAGACCUAUCAAAAUUUGCAGAGUUAUAUCAGCUUUCACCAGCAGAAAAUCUCUAGGCUCAGUCUAGAGAUUUGCAGCUGAAGGAUCAGAGUAAAAGAGAGUAAGAAAAAGAGGUAUAUUUCCCUUUUGGGUUCAAAAUCAGAACUGAGUUUAACAUCAUUUCCAAAUGAUUGAUCCCAAGCAAUAGGUUAGGAGGGGGAUGUUUUGAGCAAUAUUGUCCCUCACUUUCCCUUGUAUUUCUUUGUAAAUAACAUAUUAUCUAUAUUAAGGUAAACUGGAUCUAUUAGACAAUUACCUAAGGGGAUUGUGAAACUGGGGUCUGCAUUAUAAAGCACGUGAAGUUAUGACAGCUGUGACCCCAGAGGAAUCAAGGCUGAAUAAAGACUGUCUCCAUUGCAGACAAAUGAUGAUAAAGUGAUCCUUUUAGCCAGCAGUCAAUGGAACCUGACAAGGCCAAACCUCCAACUAAUGAACAGCCCAACCUUUGCUACCAGGGAGAUGUACUGAAAGUUUAAUCUCAAUAAGCAUCAAAAUACAUUUGGCCAAACAUUUUUAACAAAAGAGUGGCAUGUAUCAUUAAACAGACAUGAAGUUAGAUGAGUGAGGAGGAAAAUAGGAGCAUGGGGGUGUAUGUUCUUACUGUAUCACAGGUGCACAAAAUUGCCUUGAUAGAACAAUAUCUUAUUUUUCUUCUAAAAUUGAAUUUCAGAUGGUACCUACGUCACACAGACCUAAUAAUACAGAAAGCAAUUGUCUCAAUGAUUCCUAUUAAAUCUGUGCAUUUCCAGAUCCUUAUAGAGUAAUGUCAGUUACAGAACAAUGUCAGCCUGACGGACGCAGCACAGCGUUAAAGAAAAAAAAUCAUGCACACAAUAGGCCAGCUGCACAUUAAUAAAUAUGUAAUGUUUGAUUAAAAAUAUGGAUCGUAUUUUUCCCCCCAAUUGCUGACUACCCCUAAGGCAGAAGAUGUGAUCUGGCUCUCACUGAUGGGUUUAUUUCUUGCUUGCUUUGAAAAUACAAACUAAAAUGUUUUCCUGUC